AGCUCUCUUUUUUUAGGGCUUCCUUUUCCUUUUUUCCUGAGAAUUUUUUUAAGGGAGCAUAGUUUAUGUGGCUAUUUGUGUAGACAGUGUAGUAGUUGGGGGUGGUCUUUACUAGGACUCUCUAUUUUGGAAAAUAUAAAAAAUAUAUAUUUUCCCAACAUAGAGAUCGAUAUAUGUAUGGCCUGUGGAGUACUUUACUGGGUAUGUUAGUUCUGUUCCUUAUGUAUGGAAUGUUACACAUUAGCUUCAAGCAUGUAUCAUAUGUACGUGUACAUCUACAAAUAGAUAUCGUCAUGUUUGGAUCUUUGUUGCCAAAUUUUACCAUGAUUUCUGGUGUUUCUGGUGCAAGUUUUGGGAUGAGGGCACACAAUGAUAUGAUGUACAUGCUUUGUUGGGUUUCUCUUACUAAAAGUAAAGCUGUUGUAUAUAGGAUCGUUGGUUUACAGAAUGUCGACAAGAUUCAGAGGAAUCAGAGCAUGUUUCAAAGCAUUUUGGUCCCUUCUUUCUUUUUAUCCUUCAUUUUUAAAGUGAAUUGGCUAAUUAUGUCUGGAUUUAGUUUGUUUAGUAUGAAAAUCUAGAUUUUUGGACGGACGUAUAGGGAUGAGAAUUUUAUUGUGUUUUGUGUUGAAUGCAUCAACUAUGACGAGGCUUUCUUUCUUUCUUUCUUUGUUCCUUUUUUGAAAAAUCAUUAACUUAAAUGCAGUUUGUGAAGAUGGAAUAUAUAUCAAGUUCUUCCCAUUUUUUUUUUUGUGUGUGGGCACAGAUGGUUUUAGUCCUCACUCACCAAUCGCAAAGCGUACGCUUUGGUCUCUAGGGAAAAUAGUCCCCUGUUGGCCCUAUGUGACCUGGAGUUCAGGAAAGCAUUCUUGAUACUGAACUACACUGGGAGGAGGAAGCUGGAGGAGCACAUGAAGGUCGAUGACAUUAUGAUGCUUAAAGAUCUUCCAAUGAGGGAUUUUGAGACGAAAGUAUGGGAUGCCGUUGGUAAGGACUUCAUCAAUAAAGAGGACCGGAUACAGGAAUCCAAGCAAGCAUAGGCUUCUUCUCCAAACGACGCCUCCAAAUUAACGACACGACUCCUGUAGGUUGAACAACUUCGCCCUGAACAGGGUAGUUUACCCACCGUUCUCUCUCUCUCUCUCUAGUCUAACGAAUCUUGUUAGGCUCCCUCUUCUGCGUUUCUGCAUCCAUUUUUGGGGAGUGUGGUAUUUUUGCUUCACGGCCAUUUCAAAGGUUGGGAACUGGUCCAGAUGGCUUACGGAUCUAUUUGGCAUUCUGCAUUCAGGAUAGUGACUCAGCUGAGCUGAAUAUGAGACUAAUCAUGAUAACAACAGUGAAA